rnacentral:rRNA from 1 species
CCUACGGGGCGCAGCAGUGGGGAAUAUUGCACAAUGGGGGAAACCCUGAUGCAGCAACGCCGCGUGAGUGAGGAAGUAUUUCGGUAUGUAAAGCUCUAUCAGCAGGGAAUAGAAAAGAAGGUACCUGACCAAGAAGCCCCGGCUAACUACGUGCCAGCAGCCGCGGUAAUACGUAGGGGGCAAGCGUUAUCCGGAUUUACUGGGUGUAAAGGGAGCGUAGACGGCAGGGCAAGUCUGGAGUGAAAGGCGGGGGCUCAACCCCCGGACUGCUCUGGAAACUGCCAGGCUGGAGUGCAGGAGAGGUAAGUGGAAUUCCUAGUGUAGCGGUGAAAUGCGUAGAUAUUAGGAGGAACACCAGUGGCGAAGGCGGCUUACUGGACUGUAACUGACGUUGAGGCUCGAAAGCGUGGGGAGCAAACAGGAUUAGAUACCCCUGUAGUC